UGGACUCAUUUGAGGUGGGGGGUAGUGGGUUCAAUACGGACCCCAAGGCUCUCUGAAUCUCGGGAGGAUGCCUGGUAGGUGCACUUAGAGUUCAUACCUACCAGAGUUUGACAGCCGCCCUCUGAAGCCACAGUCGUCUCUUCCCCUGGGUGCAGAGGUGUGUGUGUGUGUGUGUGUGUGUGAGAGAGAGAGAGAGAGAGAGAGAGAGAGAGAGAGAGAGAGAGAGAGAGAGAGGUGAGUGUGAGUCCAGAAACUGCAAGAUGGGCCGGCAGGGUAGAGGCCUGGCGUGUGCCGGGUGGAGGCCUGGUGUGUGCCGGGUGGAGGCCUGGUGUGUGCAGGGUGCUCAGUUGAUAUUGACUUAGGGAGGGAAGGAGGGAGGACUUAAUUUUAAAAAGUAAAGAUGGCAUUAAGGAACACUGAGAUAUGACCCAUGGGUAUAAAGUUAUAUAAGACCCCCUUUACCUAAGAUGUGCACACAUGGAGACCCCAUGUCGACGGAUGGCCAGGAAGAUGCAGGCUGUCCUGUGAUGCUGACACCUUUGUGGAGCCUUUGUAGGGAAAGGCUGGGGCCACAGCUCCCGCCCGAGGCCUGGCAGGAUCUCUCCUGCUCUAGGGAGGUCAGUGUUGUUCUCUUCAGGCCUCAGCUGGCGGGAUGAGGCCCACCCUGUGAUGGGGGCCAAUUUACUCACACUCUACUGAUUUGUGUAUAGAUCUCCCCAAAACACCCUCAUGGGAACAUCCAGAAUACCCUUUGACCCAGCCAUGUUGACAUAAAAUUAAUCAUUGCAGCCUCUAAAACGUUAUCUUUCAGGUAGUCAGAAGUUUCUCUGGCUGUAGAAAGCUAAGGCCACGUGAGGCUCCACAAAGGGGUCAGGCAUCACAGGUCAGCCUGCGUCUUCCUGGCCAUCCGUCGACAUGGAGUCUCCAUGUGUGCCCGUCUUAGAUGAAAAGGUGCCUCGUCCUUUUUUCUCCUAAAGCUGGGGUUGAGGACCCCAGCACUGACAGCACACACAGACCCCAACCCAGACCUCUGAGUCAGACUCUGCCUGGGAACAAGAUCUGCCUGUGAUUCCUGCAGUUUCCAUCACGCCCUGCAGGUGGAAAGAAAAACUUCCAUGUGGGAUUUCAGAAGAAUGGAUGGCUUGGUCAAGGGGCUGCCCUGCUCGGGAUGAUUUUAAGCAAGUGUAAGAGGUUGGAAUUUUUUCCUGGGUGAGGUUCCCUCUUCUUGGGCUCAGAGGGAGGCAGCCUGGCAGCUGCUGGUGAUAGGGAAUGGCAAGGGCAGGCUGCCGGGAGGCCAGCUCGUCUUUGACCCCCCACCGACUCCUGGAGCUGUCUUGGGCCACACGCUUCUCCACGAUAGUUCUCUCCGUUGUAAUAUGGGGAUGAUUAAAAAAGAAAAAGUCUGGGUUUUGGGGGAAUGAGCAGGCCCAUAGCUAGUGGGUAUCUGCAUGAUGUGGGCAUGGCCAUGACUGUAGGACAGGCAGUGGGUGGCACUGGAGGGAGUCAAAGUUCAGGAGUUUGAUCUGGGGAACUCCUGGCUCCUCAUCUUCAAAGUGAGGAUAGCACCUGCUCAGGGCUGUCUUGCGGGUUAAAUGAGAUUAUGCAUGCCAAACGCCCAGCAGGAGCUGUUAUUUUUGUAAAAACAAUUGGUUUGGGAAACCACCCUGUGUACGCAGAGCUGGCUCUCAGCUUCAGGGCACCAGCACCAGACUCAUGCCCAGAGACGGGAGGCGCAGGUGGAGGGAGGGGCCACUUGUGACUGUGGCAGUGUCUUCUAGAUUGUUCUGCAGGACAUUUAGACCUAGAUUCUCGAGAGAAUCUGUAAGGAGUGCAGAAAUUAACAUGACAUGCUGCUAAGUGGAUUUCUUUCUCUUCAAGGUAAUGGCAGCUAUGAGAGUCGCUCGUGGUGACGGGUUUUCUAUUUCAAAGAACCUAAUGUAAUGCAAAGAUCCACCCUGAGGUUGGAGGCGUGCACUGAAGAAGCCCUACCCGGUUGGUGCAUUUCCUGCCCUGACCUUGUCCAGGACUCCCUGUGUGAAAUCUAAGGAGGGACAGAAGACUCCAUUGGGACAUAAUUAUAAAUGCAUGGAAUAUAUCUUGUUCUAAUUCAGUCCCCAGUACCUCUCCUUCCCCUUACCUUCCCGAUUUGAUCUUUCUGUCAUUUACCCAUAGUUACUUUUUAAAAAGUUAAUUUCUUAUGGACGUCCAUGAUGGUGAGAUUCAGGGUGGUGCAUUCAUGUAUGUACGUAGGAAAGAUAUGUCCGAUUCAGUCCACUGUCUUUCUUUCCUUUUCCCAUCCCCCCCUUCGUUUCCCUUUGUCUACUCCUCUGAACUUCUGUUCCCACACCCACCUCCCUUAUGUGGUUAACUUCCGCAUAAUCAGAGAAAACAUUCAACCUUU